rnacentral:rRNA from 1 species
UACGUAGGGGGCAAGCGUUAUCCGGAUUUACUGGGUGUAAAGGGAGCGUAGACGGCGUGCCAAGUCUGAUGUGAAAGGCCGGGGCCCAACCCCGGGACUGCUCUGGAAACUAUUGAACUUGAGUGCAGGAGAGGUAAGCGGAAUUCCUAGUGUAGCGGUGAAAUGCGUAGAUAUUAGGAGGAACACCAGUGGCGAAGGCGGCUUACUGGACUGUAACUGACGUUGAGGCUCGAAAGCGUGGGGAGCAAACAGG